rnacentral:rRNA from 1 species
AACGAACGCUGGCGGCAUGCCUAACACAUGCAAGUCGAACGAGACCUUCGAGUCUAGUGGCGCACGGGUGCGUAACGCGUGGGAACCUGCCCUUAGGUUCGGAAUAACUCCCCGAAAGGGGUGCUAAUACCGGAUAAUUUCUUGGGACCAAAGAUUUAUCGCCUUUGGAUGGGCCGGCGUUGGAUUGGCUAGUUGGUAGGGUAAAAGCCUACCAAGGCGACGAUCCAUAGCUGGUCUGAGAGGAUGAUCAGCCACACUGGGACUGAGACACGGCCCAGACUCCUACGGGAGGCAGCAGUGGGGAAUAUUGGACAAUGGGCGAAAGCCUGAUCCAGCAAUGCCGCGUGAGUGAUGAAGGCCUUAGGGUUGUAAAGCUCUUUUACCCGGGAUGAUAAUGACAGUACCGGGAGAAUAAGCGCCGGCUAACUCCGUG